UACGAAGGGGCUAGCGUUGCUCGGAAUCACUGGGCGUAAAGCGCACGUAGGUGGGUCGUUAAGUCGGGGGUGAAAUCCUGGAGCUCAACUCCAGAACUGCCUUUGAUACUGGCGAUCUUGAGUCCGGGAGAGGUGAGUGGAACUGCGAGUGUAGAGGUGAAAUUCGUAGAUAUUCGCAAGAACACCAGUGGCGAAGGCGGACUCACUGGCCCGGUACUGGAC
rnacentral:rRNA from 1 species